rnacentral:tRNA from 1 species
UCCCUGGUGGCUCAGAUGGUAAAGAAUCUGCCUGCAAAGCAGGAGACCCAGGUUUGAUCCCUGGGUUGGGAA